rnacentral:rRNA from 1 species
AUGGCCGGCGAGAAGAAGAUGUUCGGCUUCGAGGAGGUCGCCAAGCACAACGUCGCCAAGGACUGCUGGCUCGUCAUCGCCGGCAAGGUGUAUGAUGUUACCCCUUUCAUGGAUGAGCAUCCUGGUGGAGAUGAGGUACUGCUGGCAGUAACCGGGAAAGAUGCAACCAGCGAUUUCGAAGAUAUCGGACACAGUGAUUCCGCAAGGGAGAUGAUGGAGAAGUACCACAUCGGGGAAAUUGAUGCUUCAACCAUCCCAGCAAAGCGUACAUUUGUACCUCCUCAGCAAGGGUCCCAUGUCCAGGCCAAGGAUAGCGACCUCCUCAUCAAGAUCCUGCAGUUUCUUGUUCCCAUUUUAAUCUUGGGGCUUGCAUUUGGUAUCCGGCACUACAGCAAAUCUGAGUAG